rnacentral:RNase_P_RNA from 1 species
UGAGAUAAUCGGGUGGUUGCGGAAUCUUUUAGAUUACGAGGAAAGUCCGAACACCAUAGGACAGGAUGCCGGCUAACUACCGGUGAAGGCGACUUCAAGGAAAGUGCAACAGAAAUAAACCGCUGGGCCUUAGCCUAGCAAGGGUGGAAAGGCGGAGUAAGAGCCCACCGACUUUUCGGUAACGAGAAGUGCCAUGUAAACCCCAUCCGGUGCAAGAUUUAGGGAUAUGACUUGUCCGGUCGAUUCCCUUUUCAUCGCUUGAACCAUAUGGCAACAUAUGGUCUAGACAGAUAGCCAUCCAAGACAGAAUUCGGCUUACAGAUUAUUCUCAUAUU